rnacentral:lncRNA from 1 species
AGAUAUGAUGGGAGAUGGAAAACACCCAUUUGCUGAAGCAGAAACCUUCCAUAAACAAUAAUGAAAAUACCAUCCUGUAUUUUAAUGGUGACCAGCCACCGGCGACAGAGGAGAGUAUCCUGGGAUCAAGAGGAGGUGUAGCUGGAUUUUUCUGUUUCACCUGGCCUAGUUCACCACUCGAGCCACUUUACAUAUAAGGGAGCAGAGUGCCAAAUCACAUGUGAGCUGCAGCACGUUGUGGGUAUCCUUUUUCUACAUUUUGCUAAUGGUUGCCUGGGAAGGAGGAGGUAGGCUGUAGUCACUGCGGUGCAACAAAGAUGUGAAGUUCCAGGAAGAGGCUAAAAAUGGAGACUGGCUAUGUGUAACAGACUGGAAAAGAUUGGGGGACACUUGCCCAAGUGUUUGCUGCUGCUAUUUUAAUGGGUAUUGUCUUGCUGCAAAAUUAGUUACCAUCCCUAAAAAGAACUCUCACAAAGGCCGUUGAGAAUUGCAAAUAUGGAAUUUGUUACUGUAUUCAUAAAUUUAGAAGUCUAAAGUAUUUAUAGAUUUCUAUUUGUAGAAUUAGUGAAACUAUCAAACAGAUGUUGCACAUUUCAAAAUUGAGCCAACAAGAGAACUUGUGAAACACGAACUACAAAGCAUUUGGGAAGGCAUU